AACGCGAAGAACCUUACCAGGUCUUGACAUCCUCUGACAAUCCUAGAGAUAGGACGUUCCCCUUCGGGGGACAGAGUGACAGGUGGUGCAUGGUUGUCGUCAGCUCGUGUCGUGAGAUGUUGGGUUAAGUCCCGCAACGAGCGCAACCCUUGAUCUUAGUUGCCAGCAUUCAGUUGGGCACUCUAAGGUGACUGCCGGUGACAAACCGGAGGAAGGUGGGGAUGACGUCAAAUCAUCAUGCCCCUUAUGACCUGGGCUACACACGUGCUACAAUGGAUGGUACAAAGGGCUGCAAGACCGCGAGGUUUAGCCAAUCCCAUAAAACCAUUCUCAGUUCGGAUUGUAGGCUGCAACUCGCCUACAUGAAGCUGGAAUCGCUAGUAAUCGUGGAUCAGCAUGCCACGGUGAAUACGUUCCCGGGCCUUGUA
rnacentral:rRNA from 1 species